AACCACUGCGCCACCAGGCCGGCCCCUCAAACAUUUUUGUAGGUGCUUGAAAAUGGCUCACACUGUCGAUCCUUUGUGGAAAACCUUGCCCGGGGGAGACAGACCAUUAAGCCUGCGAUUUCUUCCUUUCUUUUUUUUAUUUUUAAUUUUGAAAUUAUUUCAAUUUACAGAAAUAUUGCAAGAAGAAUACAGACAUCUUGUAUACUCUUCAUAGAGACCCAUCAAUUGUUACCUUGUUUCUCAGCUUUAUCAUUCUCUCUCUAUGUAUAUACAUAUAUAUGAUGUGCAUAGCUGUAUCACAUGCAUCUAUAGAAAGAGACAUACAUAAUAUAUAUAAAAAAUAUAGCCAUAUAUAUGUGUAUAUAACAUACACACAAAUAUAUUGAGAUAUACAUCAAACAUUACAAAGAGAAGCAUAUGUAUAAUACACAUAUUUACAUGUAGAGAGACACAUAUGUAUAGUACACAUACAAAGGCAUAUAUAAUACACAUAUAUGCAGCAAUAUACGUAACACACAUAAGACAUACAUAAAACACAUAUAUACAGAAAUAGACAUAACACAGAGACAUAUAUAAUACACAUGCACACAGAAACACGCAUGACACAGAGGCGUAUAUAUAACACACAUGCACACAGAAACACGCAUGACACAGAGGCGUAUAUGUAAUACACAUGCACACAGAAACACGCAUGACACAGAGGCGUAUAUGUAAUACACAUGCACACAGAAACACGCAUGACACAGAGGCGUGUAUAUAAUACACAUGCACACAGAAACGCACACGACACAGAGGCAUAUAUAUAAUACACAUGCACACAGAAACGCACACGACACAGAGGCAUAUAUAUAAUACACAUGCACACAGAAACAUACAUCAUACACAUAGAGACAUAUAUAUAACACAUAUAUACAGAAAUAUAUAUAACCCACGCAGAGACAUAUUUAACACACCAUAUACAGAAAUAAAUACACUGUACACACAUGUAUGUAGAGGCAUGUUAACACACAUGGAGAGAGACAUACACAUACAAUAUACACAAAUUCCAUAUACAUAUGGAGAGAGCCACAUUUCUGUGUGGAGAGACACACGUAUACCUAUAGAUACAUAUAAUACAUACGCACACGUAUACACACACAUGCACAUAUGUAAUACACACAGAUACAUGCACACAGAUUCUACAACACGCACACACUUAGAGAAAGAGUGAUAAUAACACACACAGACACGCACGUGUUAUUUUUCCCGAACCAUUCAAGGGUGUGUCGCAGG
rnacentral:lncRNA from 1 species